rfam:Trichobilharzia regenti genome assembly, scaffold: TRE_contig0031708
AUACUACUGAAGAGUCCCAAAAUAGGACGAAACAUCCAUCCAGUAC